UACGGAGGGGGCAAGCGUUGUUCGGAAUUACUGGGCGUAAAGGGCGCGCAGGCGGCUGCUCAAGUCAGGCGUGAAAGGCCUGGGCUCAACCCGGGAAUUGCGCUUGAGACUGGGCUGGCUUGAGUGCGGGAGAGGAGCGUGGAAUUCCCAGUGUAGAGGUGAAAUUCGUAGAUAUUGGGAAGAACACCGGUGGCGAAGGCGGCGCUCUGGACCGAGACUGACGCUGAGGCGCGAAGGCGUGGGGAGCAAACAGG
rnacentral:rRNA from 1 species